AGCGAACGCUGGCGGCAGGCCUAACACAUGCAAGCCGAACGAACUCUUCGGAGUUAGUGGCGGACGGGUGAGUAACACGUGGGAACGUGCCUUUAGGUUCGGAAUAACUCAGGGAAACUUGUGCUAAUACCGAAUGUGCCCUUCGGGGGAAAGAUUUAUCGCCUUUAGAGCGGCCCGCGUCUGAUUAGCUAGUUGGUGAGGUAAAGGCUCACCAAGGCGACGAUCAGUAGCUGGUCUGAGAGGAUGAUCAGCCACAUUGGGACUGAGACACGGCCCAAACUCCUACGGGAGGCAGCAGUGGGGAAUCUUGCGCAAUGGGCGAAAGCCUGACGCAGCCAUGCCGCGUGAAUGAUGAAGGUCUUAGGAUUGUAAAAUUCUUUCACCGGGGACGAUAAUGACGGUACCCGGAGAAGAAGCCCCGGCUAACUUCGUG
rnacentral:rRNA from 1 species